rnacentral:rRNA from 1 species
GACGUGGGGGGCCAGCGUUGCUCGGAAUUACUGGGUGUAAAGGGUCAGUAGGCAGUGUGGCAAGUCGGGAGUGAAAUCUCUGGGCUUAACUCAGAGACUGCUUCCGAAACUGCUGUGCUUGAGUAUGGGAGAGGCGCGUGGAAUUGCAGGUGUAGCGGUGAAAUGCGUAGAUAUCGGGAGGAACACCAGUGGCGAAGGCGGCUUACUGGUCGGCAUCUGACGCUGAGAGGCGAAAGCUGGGGGAGCAAACGGG